UGCCAGACUCCUACGGGAGGCAGCAGUGGGGAAUAUUGCACAAUGGGGGAAACCCUGAUACAGCGACGCCGCGUGAGUGAAGAAGUAUUUCGGUAUGUAAAGCUCUAUCAGCAGGGAAGAAAUAGCGACCUUUGGGUCGCCAGACGGUACCUGACUAAGAAGCCCCGGCUAACUACGUGCCAGCAGCCGCGGUAAUACGUAGGGGGCAAGCGUUAUCCGGAUUUACUGGGUGUAAAGGGAGCGUAGACGGCGAUGCAAGUCAGAAGUGAAAGCCCGCGGCUCAACUGCGGGACUGCUUUUGAAACUGUAUAGCUUGAGUGCAGGAGAGGUAAGCGGAAUUCCUAGUGUAGCGGUGAAAUGCGUAGAUAUUAGGAGGAACACCAGUGGCGAAGGCGGCUUACUGGACUGUAACUGACGUUGAGGCUCGAAAGCGUGGGGAGCAAACAGGAUUAGAUACCCUGGUAA
rnacentral:rRNA from 1 species